rnacentral:rRNA from 1 species
UACAGAGGGUGCGAGCGUUAAUCGGAGUUACUGGGCGUAAAGCGCACGUAGGCGGCUUGGUAUGUCGGGUGUGAAAUCCCCGGGCUCAACCUGGGAACUGCAUCCGAAACUGCCUUGCUCGAGUAUGGGAGAGGGAAGUGGAAUUUCCGGUGUAGCGGUGAAAUGCGUAGAUAUCGGAAGGAACAUCAGUGGCGAAGGCGACUUCCUGGACCAAUACUGACGCUCAGGUGCGAAAGCGUGGGGAGCAAACAGG